rnacentral:rRNA from 1 species
UGCCAGCAGCCGCGGUAAUACGGAGGGGGUUAGCGUUGUUCGGAAUUACUGGGCGUAAAGCGCGCGUAGGCGGACUAGUCAGUCAGAGGUGAAAUCCCAGGGCUCAACCCUGGAACUGCGUUUAAUACUAGCAAGCUAGAGAAAUAGAGAGGAAAGUGGAACUCCCAGUGUAGAGGUGAAAUUCGUAGAUAUUGGGAAGAACACCAGUGGCGAAAGCGACUUUCUGGCUAUUUUCUGACGCUGAGGAGCGAAAGCGUGGGGAGCAAACAGGAUUAGAUA